rnacentral:rRNA from 1 species
UACAGAGGGUGCGAGCGUUAAUCGGAAUUACUGGGCGUAAAGCGCGCGUAGGCGGCUUUGCAAGUCGGGUGUGAAAUCCCCAGGCUUAACCUGGGAACUGCAUUCGAGACUGCAUUGCUAGAGUAUGGGAGAGGGAAGUGGAAUUUCCGGUGUAGCGGUGAAAUGCGUAGAUAUCGGAAGGAACAUCAGUGGCGAAAGCGACUUCCUGGACCAAUACUGACGCUCAUGUGCGUAAGCGUGGGGAGCAAACAGG